UACAGAGGUCCCGAGCGUUGUUCGGAUUCAUUGGGCGUAAAGGGUGCGUAGGCGGUAGAGUAAGUCUGAUGUGAAAUCCCGGAGCUCACUCCGGAACUGCAUUGGAUACUGCUUUGCUUGAGUACUGGAGAGGGAACUGGAAUUUACGGUGUAGCAGUGAAAUGCGUAGAGAUCGUAAGGAAGGCCAGUGGCGAAGGCGAGUUCCUGGACAGUUACUGACGCUGAGGCACGAAGGCCAGGGGAGCAAACGGG
rnacentral:rRNA from 1 species